CGCGCCCUCCAUGGGGUGCGAUGCUCUUGGUCAAUCAUCAUCAGCGUCUCGAGACUUUCAGCCAAUUACUGAUGGGUUAUGUUUAUUAUACAAGUAGAAGGAAACCGGAACAAACACCCGCAGAAAAUCAACGCCGCACGCGAAGGAACAACGCUCUAUCCCCGUACAGACGGAAACAGAUGGCGAUCAGUUCACUUGCUGCUGUAAUCGCCUUCUCCUGGCGAGCCAGGGUACGGGCACCUCCUCGGCGCCCGCGGGGAGAAGGGGAGUUUCACAACAACAUCAGCGUGCGUGAUAGAAGAUCACUGACUGGUGGACAAAGCCGUUGAAGCUGCAGUCACAGGAGACCGAAAGUAUUCAAGUGAAUUCAGGAGCUGUCUGACAGAAGCGCCCCUGAAGGUGACGGCGAGUCUGGAGGAUGUCGCCAAUUCCCCGGGCCCAUCUGCGGGAGUUCCGGCAGGACUGCCAAUUGUUGGACCACUAUCCCCACCAGUCGGUGUUCCUGUCUCGCCGCUGGCGGACGGCCGGCUAUGCAGACACGCUCUAAAUCAUUGCAAUUUUCUUAAACAAUUAUUUUAUUCGGAUUGCGUGCUUUUUCCGCGGCGUUGUUGUUGUGUUGGUGAGAGUCACUACAUUUUGUUAUCAUUCUCUUGUUGUGUUGUGUUAUGUGGCUGAUGGCGUUCUGUUGUGUUGCCCUUCCUUAGCCGGGAUGGCUAAAAUUUUGUAUACAGGGCGGGGUGAUGUAAUGAGAGCGCCAUCGCCUGGAUUAUUCAUGGGGCAUGUAUUUUAUUCUACAGCCAUACUUAUCCAUAGUAGAGUUUAUAUCUGGGUGAAAGGGAGAGGUGGUUCCACCAGGGAGGCUUCGGGAACGUUCGGGAAGGUUCCAGAAAGGGCAUGGCCAGAGGCGGGGCUUAGACACGGGUAGGGGGAUAUAAGGGGACACGGAGCAAUGCGAAGGGGUUGGUGUUGAAGACUGAAGAGGAGCCCCGCCGCUGCUGCCCCGUCAUCUCCAUCAACCACGUGGUGGUUGGUCCUCCAGCCGCCCAGACGCUCCUUCGAGCACCGUCAGCCGGCGGUGCGUUGGAGAGCGGGUGAGCGCCACGUGGCGCGGGGCAGCGUACCAAAUGAAGAGUGGAUGCCGCAAGAAGGAAGAGACGGGGACGUGUGGCUGUACUGAGCUUUUAUUGAAUAAAAAGUUAGAUUUUUUACCGUGUCGGAGACCACUCGUUUAACCUGUACAGUAGACAUUUCACCGUGCGUUCGGACCACGCGGCACUUCAAUAUGCAUUACGAGUUGAUCAGCCAUCCGGUCAACUAUCCCGCUGGCUCGAGGUCAUUCAGGACUACACGUUCACGGUUACCUAUCACAAGGGUGUCCGACAUGCCAACACUAACGCAUUGUCGCGA